UGGGGAAUUUUGGACAAUGGGGGAAACCCUGAUCCAGCCAUCCCGCGUGUGCGAUGAAGGCCUUCGGGUUGUAAAGCACUUUUGGCAGGAAAGAAACGUCAUGGGUUAAUACCCCGUGAAACUGACGGUACUUGCAGAAUAAGCACCGGCUAACUACGUGCUAGCAGCCGCGGUAAUACGUAGGGUGCAAGCGUUAAUCGGAAUUACUGGGCGUAAAGCGUGCGCAGGCGGUUCGGAAAGAAAGAUGUGAAAUCCCAGAGCUCAACUUUGGAACUGCAUUUUUAACUACCGGGCUAGAGUGUGUCAGAGGGAGGUGGAAUUCCGCGUGUAGCAGUGAAAUGCGUAGAUAUGCGGAGGAACACCGAUGGCGAAGGCAGCCUCCUGGGAUAACACUGACGAUCAUGCACGAAAGGGUGGGGAGCAAACAGG
rnacentral:rRNA from 1 species